rnacentral:rRNA from 1 species
AGUCAAGCGAAGAAGGGCGUGCGGUGGAUGCCUUGGGGCUAAGGAGCGAAGAAGGGCGCGGCAAGCUGCGAAAAGCUCUGGGGAGUCGCAAACAGGCGUUGAUCCAGAGGUGCCCGAAUGGGGG